AAUUCAUUUUCUGUUUAUUCAAUCAUAUAUUGAUAACCCAGAUGCCUACUUGUGAGUCUGCUUGACUAAAAGUUCAGGCAUAAUAUUGUGAAGCCACCCUUAACUAAAACACUUUGUCCCAGAAAUGGAUAUCAUAUGGUGUGACGCCACAUUACUUUUUUUAAACAGGCAAUUGUUUGGAGACCUUUGGGGAGUAGGGGUCCUCCUUUAUUCAGGAGGAAGAACAACACCUCAGAAGGACACUGAAAGUUACAAGAUAUAAAGAGAAUAAACUCAAAGGGGAACUACAAACAUUCAGAUUGAAGCCCACCAUUGAGAAGAGAAAAACUAAGGGAACCCAAGAGCUAUACAAUAUUUGGUGGCAUUCUGUUUUGCAUAGUUGUGAUUUCUGAAAGUGAACCUUUACAUGAAAUACCUGUCUUAAACUGUCUUUUGUUGCUUGUGAAAUACAUAUAAUACACAUUUUUGUAUUAACAGAU